GCACUAGAUGAGGGUCUAUCAUCUAUGGUCUGUUAUAAUUUGCAUUUCAUGCAAAUAGUGAGCAAAAAUUAAAGCAACUGUGCAAGUUAGAUAUAUAGUACUAUAUCAGUACUAUACACGAACUUUUAUCGAUGGAUAAUUUUGCGACUUUUCAUCCAAUUCAAUCAUAUAUAUGCUCAAAAUCUUCGCGGUAAGUUUCUCUUUACCAUGAAAUUUGACCGAAUAAGUUUCAGAACAAUGUAACGGCGA